rnacentral:rRNA from 1 species
UAUCAGAAAGUGACGCCAAACUAUGUGCCAGCAGCCGCGGUAAUACAUAGGUCACAAGCGUUAUCCGAAAUUAUUGGGCGUAAAGCGUCCGUAGGUUGUUUAUUAAGUCUGGAGUCAAAGACCGGUGCUCAACGCCGGCACGCUUUAGAUACUGGUAGACUAGAGUUAUAAAGAGGUGAGUGGAAUUUCAUGUGAAGCGGUGGAAUGCGUAGAUAUAUGAAAGAACACCAAUGGCGAAGGCAGCUCACUGGUUAUAUACUGACACUGAGGGACGAAAGCGUGGGGAGCAAACAGGAUUAGAUACCCUGGUAGUCCACGCCGUAAACGAUGAUCAUUAGUUGGUGGGAGAAUCUCGCUAACGCAGCUAACGCAUUAAAUGAUCCGCCUGAGUAGUAUGCUCGCAAGAGUGAAACUUAAAGGAAUUGACGGGGACCCGCACAAGCGGUGGAGCAUGUGGUUUAAUUUGACGAUACGCGUAGAACCUUACCCACUCUUGACAUCCUCUGCAAAGCUAUAGAGAUAUAGUG